rnacentral:rRNA from 1 species
UACGAAGGGUGCAAACGUUGCUCGGAAUUAUUGGGCGUAAAGCGCACGUAGGCGGCUUAGCAAGUCGGAUGUGAAAGCCCUCGGCUCAACCAAGGAAGUGCAUCCGAAACUGCAGAGCUUGAGUACUUAAGAGGAUCGCGGAAUUCCCGGUGUAGAGGUGAAAUUCGUAGAUAUCGGGAGGAACACCAGUGGCGAAGGCGGCGAUCUGGGAAGAUACUGACGCUGAGGUGCGAAAGCGUGGGGAGCAAACAGG